AUUCCUCCCUUUAAUUUGUCUUUGCCGUCAAAGACACACAACCCAGAUUCAUUUCACCCCUGGCAGGACAAGAGUGGUCAUGGCACCAACUGGUAAAAUCUUGCACAGAGGUCCCUAGGUUCAAUUCCCGAUCCAGCCACAAAUUUUCUCCGUGUAUGUCUAUCUGAGACUGAGUUGGAAAAUUACGGUAUCUUCAUAGUGACAAACUAAUGAAAAUAUUGAUCAAAUUCGACUGGUCAAGGACUGUUAAUAUAAAUAAAUUUGAAACAUUGGUCAUUGUAAUGAUUGGGUUCAUGUUAUACUAAGCUUGUGUUUCAAGACAAGACUGUCUUCGUUGGUGAUGAUACUGAUGUAUAUAUUUAGAAACAAGUAAUGCUUUGAUUUUGAUUACAGGUGUGGUCUUUAAAAAAAUUAAUGCAUGGCAAGGUUGAUAGUGAGACUAAUAAAUUCUUUCAGCAGAAUUCAGCUAGACACAAAAAAAAAAGACAAUCACUACAGCCUUCCAAGAAGAUGGACUGCCUCACAAUAGUUUCCUUGAGGACUGUCUUGAAAUAUCCAGAGUUUAAGAAGUAGACAAUUUGAAAGUGAAAAGGAAGUGCCAGGAAACGUCAGAAUGCAGGACAGAAUGCAGAAGUUGCACCAUUUACCCUACAGCUUCUGGGGGCCUAGGCCGCCCCCAACCUACUGGGAGUAACCUCUCUCUCUCUCUCUCUCUCUCUCUCUCUCAUUUCUUUGGGAUAUCAGAAAAAGAUAGCGGAUAGACGUUGUGAAAAGUAUCUAAACGAUCAAGUGCUGGACCCCCCCCCCCCCUUCCACUUCAAAAAUUCCUACACCCGCUUCUGUACAAGAUAUACUUCACAAGAGAUAGAAUCCGGCAGUAACUCGAAAAUCCAGGUUUUCUGCAACUCGUCAUAGUUACUUCAGUGUGUAAUUUUUACGACAAGUUUAAUUUUUAGUGAAUUACAUUCUCAAACAAAUGUGAUAAAAGUUGAUGAUCAGACAUCGUCAUAUUCCACUUUUCCCCUCUCUAAAUAUAACUAUGAUCAUUUGACCCAGCUGACGUUUUUGUGAGCAAAAUAUUUACGAAGGUAAUGUGACCAGGGUUAAAUACUAGAUGAUACAAAGAGAAGAAAUAAUGGAGUUUGAAUGAUAUCAAUGAUGUUUAUUUGUGUUUGAAUGCAUGAUGGUGAUCAUUGUACAUUGAUAAAGUGGCUUUUUAUAGGAUCCGAAACAGUGACAUGUGAGAAAGUUGGUUGGCGGGGAUUUCUACUUUCACUUUUGAGGAUGCAGUAAACGGAUGACAGGAGGGGAAGCUGCGCAUUUCCUCGUUGGAUGAUUUGUGUACAUGUGUGGACGUGGAUGUCAUUUCAGUGAGUUCACUUGGAUUUGAGAGGCUGAGCAAAGGCACAAAGAAAUUGUUUCCUGAGUAUAGAGUCUGAAACGAGGAUAUUGCAUCAUUCCUGAUCAGGCAAGUCUGGCUUGUUCAUUUAUUUUAUUUAUCAUUUCUUUUUUUUUUUUUUUUUUGAAUGAUUUUUUAUUCAUUUAUUGGUUUACAAUAUUACAGAAGGUGAAAUGUACAUGUUUAACUAUUUCUGUGUAUCAUGUAUGUGUAUUUGUUUUAAUUUUUAAUUUUCUUUGGGGGGGGGGGGGGGGGGGGGGGCUGUUAUCAGUUUGUGUAGAGUGUCAGUUUUGUGUAUUACUUAAAGAUCAGUACCAGUGUCCUACUGUUGAACAUUGGGCAGAUAUGUAAAUUGGCACUUGGUUGGUUUAUGCAGUCCUCCUUGACAUUGACAGGGCUUUCCCAUGGAGACUGUUUUCCAAGUUAUGCUAGAGUGUCAGUCAUCUAUCUGUGUCUCGCAAGUACUUAGUGCAGACAGCUAUCAUGCUGGGGAUAUAGACUUCCUUUGGAAUGACGUACAUACUCAAUGUUGCGUCGCUUGUGGAGACCCACAUCUUGAAGAGUGACCUUGACUUUUGACCUUGACCCCAUUUUUAAAGGUCAACCACCUAAGACUUUGUGGAGGAGAAAGUGAUUUUGACCUUGACCCACUUUCAAGGUCAUUCAAGGUCAACAAUCCUAGAAUAUCAUGUGACUACUCCUAAAGAUGUAGAUGGAGGUUUAUGAUAGAAAACGUCAUUUUUUGGCCCCUAUUUGCCCCCUGGGGCCAAUAUGAAAAUUCCGAAUCCUUAUUGCACAUCUACAGGACAUUACUAUUCAGCUCCUUGAAUAUCAUGUGACUAUUCCAAAAGAUGUAGAUGGAGUUAAAGUGACAAGCUUUGUGAAAGAAAACGUCAUUUUUCAGCCCCUAUUUGCCCCCUAGGGCCAAUAUGAAAAUUCCGAAACCUUAUUGCACAUUUACAGGACAUUACUAUUCAGCUCCUAGAAUAUCAUGUGACUGCUCCUACAGAUGUAGAUGGAGUUUAAGUGACAAGCUUUAUGUUAGAAAAUGUCAUUUUUCAGGCCCUAUUUGCCCCCUGGGGCCAAUAUGAACAUUCUGAAACCUUAUUGCACAUCUACAGGACUUUGCUAUUCAGCUCCUAGAAUAUCAUUUGGAUUGCGCUGUAAAUGUGGACACAGUUUUAGUGACAACAACCGGGACAGACGGACGGACGGACGGACCGGGAUAAAAACAAUAUACCCGAACUUUCUUUAGAAAGUGCGGGUAUAAUGAAGCAUUGCACAAAGUUUCAAGACUAUCCGAUAAGCCAUAUAGGAGAAGUGUUCACAAGAUUUUGUGACAGAAAGAAAGACGGAUGAAGUACAAAAACUAUGUCUCCCCCUGGAAGAGGGGAGACAUAAUUAGAAUUUUUUUUAGACAGAAAGGAAUGAGAUCUCUGCAGGGCUUUCAAAAGUAGCCGGUAGCCGGCGGAUUUCCGCCGCCUAUAGUAACAUUAGGUGCCGGCUACUUUAGUGACAAAAAUGUAUGUCCAAUGAAAAAAACUUUUAUAAAACUUUAAACAUCUUCCAAACUUUAGUAGACUCAGAAAUCGCGGCCGUAUCAACCAGGAUGUAAAAAUGUGUUUACUUGCGCUAAAUUUAGUUCAGGUAAAUACCGGCACCUGAUUGGUCGUCUGUUGGUGUAGAAAAUAAUACGUCAAUUGCAAUAGUCGGAAAGCCUCGGAUUUACCCAAUUCGUGACAACACAGACGAGAAUUUCCGAAAGAUAACAACAAGUCCUGAACGUAAAAAUCAAUGAUGUUGACGGAAUGAAGAGAACAAAUACCCUGUUCAGUUUCGGUUUAAAAAGGCCAGAAGUGAAAGUGACACGAAUUCAAGAAACGGACUCUAUCUGGAAAAGGAAAACAAUAUCAAAGCUCCUCUGUGAGAAGUUGGCCAAGGAAAGCAUUCAGAAGAAAGUGGAGAUUCAUUGUUUUUACCAGAUCCAGUAGAUCACAGAAAGCAUCUAGUAGGGGAGGUCUACAGAUCGAAGCAUGCCAAAUGUGUAAAGAACAAGUUUCCAGGAUUAAGCCAGCCAGUAGAUGAGACUAUUAUAUCAAAAAUACAUUUACUUGUACACGAGGGCAGGACACAAAGCGUUGAUGAAACAAAAAGACAUUUCCGUCUGUUUGUAAAGGAUACUAUUUCACCAGGGAACACCAUCUCAGAAUUUAACAGAUGCUUUUACCCCGCCAAUAAGGAUGUAAGAAAUCACAUUUACAGGGCACCGAGAUUUUGCCAGGUAGUUUAGAACUGUGUGCAUUGGUUUUGGAAGAAUUUGGGCUGUUUAGGCUAAAAUCCAUUAUGAUUGGACAGAAUAUGAACACACACAUCCAAUACUUCAAAGAUAUUAUGUUUGUGGAGGCAGAGAUUUUGAUUGCAUCCACUGUUUAGAAUACAUCCUUAAGGGAAGCAGACUGCCGCCUUUACCCAAUGAUAUAAUGAUUAAUCAUAACUAUAUCUGUUUUGUACCAAAUAGAAAGAGCAUUGAUUCAGGUCAUUUUCAAAUCCACUGGCAUACAUUGUACUAUACAUGCAACCUUUUCAAACUUUACAUUUAAGAUUUUAUAAAGGAAAUAUCUUAAUGUUUCACAUGUUUACCUUUCACUGUGUUAUGUAAUUCAUUAUACCUGCCAUUAUGCCAGUCUUCCUGAACAUAAUUUGUUUUCUGCAAUUUCAUUGGCCAAGAGGCUUAAUCCUGGGUUAUCAGAUUGAGCAUUUAUAUUUAGUAUCCCAUUGAUUUUGUCAGCCCUAUAUAAGGAGCUGACUCAGAUUUACUCACUCUGCUAGGUUAAAGAACUCUAAGGUUUGUACUUUUCACAUGAAUUUCGUGUUCGCCUCUUAUCUUUUACAUAGAGUAGGAAAUGAACAUAACAUUGAGUUAGGGAACAAUUUAGAUUUUACAUUAUAAUAUGUAAAUACCUUAGCAGAGUCAAUUUACUUGGUUCAGGGUAGUAUCAGAUAUUACUUUUUCAAAGUUUAAGUGUUUAGGCUAUCUCAAUGUUUCUAUAGUUAGCCUUGUCCUAUGUUACUUUUAGAUGUAUGGAAGCCUUUUAGUGUUAUAACACUAUAUUUAUGCCCCCAUUCAAAGAAGAGGGGCAUAUUGGUUUGCACCUGUUGGUCGGUCGGUAGACCACAUGUUGUCUGCUUAAUAUCUUAAGAACCAUUCACUUGAUCGUAAUAUAUUUCAUAUGUGGGUUGGUUAUGAAAAGAAGAGGACCCCAAUUGUUUUUCUGGUCGAAAUGUCAAGGGUCAAUCUACUCUGGACAUAGGAAGACACUGCCUGCUCAAUAUCUUGAGAACCCUUUGCUUGACAGACAUCAAACUUGGUACACUGGUACAUCUCAAGGAGUAGAUUUGAGGUCACAUGGUCAAAAGUCAAGGGGUAAACUGGACAUAGUAAUAUAUUGUCUCUUAUGUUUUAAGAAUUAUUUGCUUGAUUGACACCAAACCUGGUACAGCAUAAGGAGUAGAUGACCCCUAUUGAUUUUUAGGUCACUUGGUCAAUCCACUCCUGACACAGGAAGAUAUUGUUUGCUCAAUAUUUCGAAUUGAUGAUACUACUAUCAAUCAAAUUAUGCAUGUGUAUAACCCUUUUCAAUUUUGCACCAUGGGGGCUUAUAUGUUUUACAAACACCUCAUGUUUUAUAGUUUGUGAAAGCUUGUUAGGGUCAUAACUUUAGAUUUUCUUAUUAUGGUACUUGCCCGUCAGAGACUGGACAUAUUAUGGUAUGGUGUUGUCUGUCCGGACCUUGUAAGAUGGGAUACAGACUGAACCGUAAGCUCCAGAAUCUUACAACUUGGUACAUUUGAUCACCAUAAAAGGAAGAUGCUUAUUGUUUUUUAAGGUCAAGGUUGUAGGUUCACUUAAUAGGAAAACCUUGUUUGAGAAAAUUACAGAUUCUUGAACUGAGUAUUUUGAGGAAACAUUACAUAGAAAGUACAUGAUUUGUCAAAUUUCUCCCAAUAUUCAACUGAGAACCUUAUUCUGCAGAGUAUUUGUAUGGGUAUGGAAAAUGUGUAUGUGGCUAUGAUUUUGAUUUUUGUUUAAUUUUUUUUUUUUUUUGAAAAUUACAGGUUUAACCGAGUCAGUUUUUGAGGAAAUAUACAUGCAUUAAAUAAAUGACGGUUUGACCUUUUAACUCCUCUCACAGUUUUGAAACUAGGGUCUUUGUAAAUAACUUCUUUGGUGUUUUAGAAUAUUUACAGAUUGUUGAUCAUGGUAAAUUUUGGGGAAAUAUUUUCCGCAGAGCUCUAGUUGUCUAUCUACCGGCCUCCUGUCACUUUUAAGUUUAGGAGCUUUUAUUCAUGGAAAGAAAGUAUGUGACAGCCUGAUGAUGGCUGAUACUAUUUAAAGCCUUUUUAUAUGCCCGUCUUAAGACGGGACGUAUUAUGGUAUGGCGUUCAUGUCCGUCCGUCUGUUAGCUUUUUCGUGUCUGACCCGUAACUUAAAUACUACAAGGCCUAGAAUCAUCAAACUUUGUCUGUAGAUGCAUCUUGGGUAGAAGGUGUGUCGCACAUUAAAACCAGGUCACUGUGACUUUUCAUUAAGAAGAUAUCCGUCUGUCCGUCCGUCUGUUAGCUUUUUCGUGUCUGACCCGUAACUUAAAUACUACAAGGCCUAGAAUCAUCAAACUUUGUCUGUAGAUACAUCUUGGGUAGAAGGUGUGUCGCACAUUAAAACCAGGUCACUGUGACUUUUCAUUAAGAAGAUAUGGCCAUAUAUGGCAAAAACUUGUCCGGCUCAUAACUUGAAAACUAUUAGGCCUAGAAUCACCAAAAUUGGUCAACUAAUGCAUCUUAGGUAGAAGGUGUGUCGCAUCCUACUUUAAGGUCACUGUGACAUUUAAUUAAGGUAAUAUAAAAAAAAAUGUUUUAAUGGGUACAAUCUAUACUGUUAACAAUAUGUGACGGGCGUAUCAUGUGCCGUGGCGGUGCACUUUAUUCUAGAAAUGGCAUCAGAAAAACACCCUAUGUAACCUUUUCUGCUUAUACUCAUUUAUUUUUAUUGGAAAACUUAUUACUUGUUAUCAGCUACUCUAAAACAAUAUUGACUUGUGCUAUAAUAAAUUUGUAAACUUUA